rnacentral:lncRNA from 10 species
ACCUGGUGGCCAGGGUGGCAAGACAAGUGAAGCCUGACUAUGCCUGCAGCAUCCACUGUGGAAACUACUACAUCUUUGCCAUGCCAAACACUUCUGCUUAAGCAUGCAGGUGAGAAGGGAAGAUACAUGUAAUCUGCAUGUCUGCCACCAUUCCUUGUUACCCUUUUUCAUAUCCCAUGAGCACAGCACUCCAGCGGACCUACCCAAAAUAUGUGGGAGUUCAGUGAAACUCAAACCUAUACAGUCUCUGUCCUGGUGAGGAGCAUGAUCACCAACAGGCAAGAUCUUCUGGCCUUGAAGUUUCGCUUGAGUUAAAAGAGCUCAUCUCAGGACUUUCUGAAUUUUCAGCCCAUAUGACAUGGAAGAAGAGUUAGAAGGGGAAUCUGACUGCUUGGAUCAGGGACUGUCUGGCUGGUGGAACUUGAAUGUAUACAACACUCUUCAUUUGCAUGUUUUGACAUUUUAAAAAAUGUUUUCACUUUCCUUAUCUACUUUGACUCUAAUAACAUCCUGAAAGGUAAGUAGAAUUAUUCUCAUAAUAUGAUGAAGAACCCAAGGCUCUCAAGGGAACACCACUCUUGGAUUAUUUAGCCCCGCUCUUCUACAAGAAUUGCAUACCCCAACCCCUGGAGCCCCUCCCCAUAUCCAUGUUUCUGCCCUAUAAUCUGAUCCUUUCACCAAAAAUGUUUAGAUCAGGUACACACACCUGAACUAAAUUGGGACUAUCAGUUUCUCUCUCUUUAAAUUGCCCUGAGAAUUGAAACUCAGAGGAGCAAAAGUCUAAGUUUUGAGAGAUAACAUGUGUAAAAUGGCAGGAAUCCAAAUCCAUAGGCACAGUCCACAGAUUCCUGAAGCUAGGGGUUCUGGCCCGAACCUGGUUUUCAAUCUUCUCCCCUUAAGCCCUUCCUAGCUCUUUUAAACUCUUUGAAUUGCUUUAAAUAGCCCUAGUUUCUUAAACUAAAUUCUCCUUUUUUGGUAAAGGUACAUUGAAUUAGUUUCUGUUAUUUGCUAUCAAAAGAAUCUUACCUAAUAUGGGCACAGAGAUGUGAAGAUCUUUUUUCAAGGCUGCACAGCUAGUGAGCAACUGACCAGUUUUGAACCCAAGUCUGUCUGGCUCCAGGUAUAAUGCCUGAGUCCUUAUUCCAUAUACACUGGUUAGACUGGAGCUAUGAGUGGAAGUUUUUUUGUCCUGCCCAUUAUGAAAGUUGAAAAAUUCUCCUGAUAACUCCUGCCCCAUUCUUUAUAUUAAUACAUUCUCUUUUUUCUUAAGUCCAAUGAAGCCUAAUUUCGGAGAUAUAAUCAAGAUGAGCUGAGCUGAUUUAGGUUGAUCACAGGACAAAAUGAAGGAAAUAGGAAAAAUCUCUAGUUUUCCUUCUCUUCAAAGCUUAGACUCACUAACUUCAGAAGAGGUGUUAAAUGUCCUAAGAUUGUUAAUUUGGAUAUCUGUUGACCUAGGCUCACUCCCAAAUAGAAUUGGAUCAAGGAAAAAUGAAUCAAACCUGUCCUGAGGUUUUUCUCUCCUCCUCCCCGAGAGUGCCCCAUGCCUCCCAGGAAGCCCUACAGUGGUCCAUCUGGGGCCACUGGAGUGGGGAUUUGCUCUUUGGCUCCCCUGACUCACCAAGCACUUGCAGCUUGAUCUUCCAUUCUUGCUCAUUCCCAGUCUUUUUCAACACCCUCAUGAUGUAGGUGCUGUUGUCCUCUUUCUGGACCUUAGAGAUGUACAGUGCGCCACUCUGAGGAUCAAGUCUGACCCUGCCUUUAAAUUUGGAUUCAAAGUACUUAGAUUUUCUGGAAUCCCAUUCUACAAUCUUCUGGUCGAAAGUAUAAAACCAGGUUAGUUGUUUGUAGUUCUCAGGCAGGCUCUCAGAGAUGUUCAGAGUCACGUUGCUGCCGGAGACCACGGUCAUAUGUACCAAGUGACCUGCCAAUGAGAUUCAGAGUGAGACCUGCGCUAGAGGAGGCAGUGUUGCUGACAGGCCCAGGGUAUAGCCUGGGCUGGUGGAACAGGUGAGAAGGAAGGGAUUUCUGCUUAGGAGCAGUGAGUAUGGUUUUCACUGGAGGUCCAGGUCUCCUGCUUAGGAACUCAAGAAAAGUUGAAGCUUGAAAAGUGGGCAUGGGGGAAGGGGAUGCUGCUUAUAAUUAAUCUAGUACUGUCCCCAGAAAAUGAAAGAAUUGAGUAAGGCCAACUGAGGUUGGGCCUGGCUCUCUCCCUUACUCUCAUACCAGUAGACUUUCAAAUAAACUGAUGACAAGUCAUAUCUCUGCUCUGGUCUUGUGUUUCCUGUCUAUUCUCAUUUCAGUAAGCAUGUUGUUAGUCCCUAGAGGCAUAGACAUAAAAAGUACAUGAUUCUGUUUAAAAAUAUUUAAUAUACCAAUGUGGGAGGACAAACACACAAACAAAUAAUCCU